rnacentral:rRNA from 1 species
UACGUAGGCAGCGAGCGUUGUUCGGAGUUACUGGGCGUAAAGCGUGCGUAGGCGGUGGUCCAAGUCUGGUGUGAAAUCUCCCGGCUUAACUGGGAGGGUGCGCCGGAAACUGGGCCGCUGGAGUACGGGAGAGGCAAGCGGAAUUCCAGGUGUAGCGGUGAAAUGCGUAGAUAUCUGGAGGAACACCCGUGGUGCAGACGGCUUGCUGGACCGUGACUGACGCUGAGGCACGAAGGCCAGGGGAGCAAACGGG